UUUAAUAAUUAUAAAUUAAGCCUAGCAGCUGCGUAUGCAGUAUGUGUACAGCCAGAUCGAUGAGAAACAGAUAGAUAGAUAUAAAACAGACGCGGGCUUGUUCAAGCGAAAGAAAGACAGAGCAAAUUAGGGUUUCGGGGAGUCUAUUCAAUCAGAUCAAUUCAUUGGCAGGUGAGGCUUAUUAGCUUUGUGUGACUACAUACUUAUCUGUAUAUCGUUGUUUGUUGGCGGAUUGGGUUUUUGUUGGGGCGUUUGAUUGAUAGUUAGAGGAAUAAGGGAGGGGAUCUGGGGGUGUGUUUGAUCAGAGAUGGGGAGUUUGGCGGUGUAAAUCGGAGAUGGGGCUGUGACGUGGGUGUUGAUCGGAGGUGGCUACAGUUGGUCGGAGGAACGGAGGCGACGUCUGUCGCCGGGUAUGGUUACAGAGGCGCUGCGAGGAAGGUUGCGGCGGUCUGAAAUCCGGCUGACUUGGGUGGAGGUCUGGUGGCUUGAUAAAAAGUGGCAGAGUUAUGUUGUUGAUCGGAGGUGGCUACAGUUGAUCGUUGAUUGAAGGCUGGCUGGUUGCUUGAUGAUUGUAGUGAUACAGUGGCUGGUGGGUUUGACGGAAAACAGCAGGGGAGGUGCUGUGCAGGUCAGUGGCGAUGAAUUAUCGUCGGGCCGUAUUAAAUCGAGGGAGGUAGGCUGAGGAGACAAAGGUGUAGAUGGUUGUGUGUGCCAUCACCGAUUAUUGCAGGAGAGGUGAACGAUGGUGUGAGCGCUUGUUUGUAUGUGUUGGAGUACUGAUUUGGGUGUGGCCUUGAGGUUAAAAUUGAUGUUGAAAUAAGAUUACAGAGGAUUGGUUGUGUGUGUAGUUAGAGUCCAGGUAGGUGUGUGUUAAAGUAUUGUAGUGUUAUUUAUAGCUCAUGGUUAUAGAUGUAAAUAUGCUUUUGUAAUUAAGGGUAGAUUAGUACACAAUAUAGCUAGUUAGUUACUGCUUUUGUGUAUAUAUAGACAGCUAGUACAGAUUGUAAUUCAGUUUAGUUAAUACAAUUUUAGUCUUUUCUCUUUCUAAA